GAUGAACGCUAGCGGCAGGCUUAACACAUGCAAGUCGAGGGGCAGCGCGGGUAGCAAUACCUGGCGGCGACCGGCAAACGGGUGCGGAACACGUACUGAACUUACCCUGAUCUGGGGCAUAGCCCGAAGAAAUUCGGAUUAACUCCCCAUAGUAUAAUUGGAAGGCAUCUUUUGAUUAUUAAAAUUUAUUGGAUCAGGAUGGCAGUGCGUCCCAUUAGCUAGUUGGUAGGGUAACGGCCUACCAAGGCGACGAUGGGUAGCUGGUGUGAGAGCACGACCAGCCACACGGGCACUGAGACACGGGCCCGACUCCUACGGGAGGCAGCAGUGAGGAAUAUUGGUCAAUGGACGCAAGUCUGAACCAGCCAUGCCGCGUGAAGGAUGAA
rnacentral:rRNA from 1 species